AAGAUUAAGCCAUGCAUGUCUAAGUAUAAGCAUUAUACAGUGAAACUGCGAAUGGCUCAUUAAAUCAGUUAUCGUUUAUUUGAUAGUACCUUGCUAAUUGGCAUACGCCUGGCAAUUCUAGAGCUAAUACAUGCGUCCAAGCCCGACCUCUGGAAGGGCUGUAUUUAUUAGAUAAAAAUCAACAUCCGUGAUGAUUCAUAAUAACUUGUCGAAUCGCAG
rnacentral:rRNA from 1 species